rnacentral:rRNA from 1 species
GUUUUUGAACACCAGCCAUUGGUUCAAGGAUAGAAAGACGGUUUCGGCUGUCACUUACAGAUGGACCCGCGGCGCAUUAGCUAGUUGGUGGGGUAAUGGCUCACCAAGGCGACGAUGCGUAGCCGACCUGAGAGGGUGAUCGGCCACACUGGGACUGAGACACGGCCCAGACUCCUACGGGAGGCAGCAGUAGGGAAUCUUCCGCAAUGGACGAAAGUCUGACGGAGCAACGCCGCGUGAGUGAUGAAGGUUUUCGGAUCGUAAAGCUCUGUUGUUAGGGAAGAACAAGUGCGAGAGUAACUGCUCGCACCUUGACGGUACCUAACCAGAAAGCCACGGCUAACUACGUGCCAGCAGCCGCGGUAAUACGUAGGUGGCAAGCGUUGUCCGGAAUUAUUGGGCGUAAAGGGCUCGCAGGCGGUUUCUUAAGUCUGAUGUGAAAGCCCCCGGCUCAACCGGGGAGGGUCAUUGGAAACUGGGAAACUUGAGUGCAGAAGAGGAGAGUGGAAUUCCACGUGUAGCGGUGAAAUGCGUAGAGAUGUGGAGGAACACCAGUGGCGAAGGCGACUCUCUGGUCUGUAACUGACGCU